UAGUGAGAGGAAGUAGUUGAUUUCGGAACUACAUUCUGAAAUAGUGAUGUUCAAGUCUUUAUCUUUUUAUCUUUAACACAUGUAUUCCUUAACUUUGCAAAGGCAUCUAGUUCUUGGAGUGAUAUAUCAAUAAUUACUUAUUCUUGUUAUAAUUAGAUCGAACCAUGAUUCAGUAAUUAUGUUAUUUUUUCAUCACGUAUAGCUGUGGAAUUGCAACCAAGUAGAUAUCCUGGAAAAAAGGAACGCAAAUCCACUGACAUCUCCUCCUAUGUUGAGUCCCACGCCGAGAAGAGUAAAGGAAUUCAGAUUUAGGGAAGGUAAGAGAGAGAAGGAAAGGGGUAAACAUACCAUCCAUAUUCAUAACCGCUCCAAGUGAUAUUUGUUUGUUGUAUUUUAUAUGAGGUGGAGAUAGUCUUGUGACUCUUUCAUGUGCCUCUCACAUGACUCAUUUAUUUUGGGUCAUUACAUCGCAGCAGUCAACAUAUCUGUACCAUCUUCAUCUUUUGGGCUUUAUACACCUAGAAAUGAAAUUGUAUCAACAGUCAAACACAACUAAUGGUACCCGUAUUCAAAUUGAAAUCGUCCUUGGAGGUUAAGACUAACAAGUAAUGUCCCAUUUACAUUGUAUCACUUCACGCAAAAAAAUAAGUUCUGUUGGUUUUCUUUCCAUACUAUUUUUUAUAGAUCUUUUGAAGUUCUGUCGGUUAUCUUAAGUUGCAUAGCUGGGGAAAGAAUUACAGAAUUGAGGUGUUUUUAAAUCAAUAUAGAAAAUUUUAUUCUUGAAGAAAGUAGCUUGUUGACUGAUGUCUAUAUCAUUUCAAAAUAUGCAAAAACAGGAUCUUAUAAUUUAUACCUAGUCCUCAUCUCUUUGCCAAUACUUCCAUCAGUUUCAUAAUUCUUUUCCUUUCUUCCUCUACCUCUGUAAGCUCUUAUAUUGUCGCCAAAGCCACUGAUAACACACACCAGUAGGGGUGUUACCGAAAAACCAAACCAAAACGAACCGAGAAAAAAACAGACAUUUUUUUGGUUUGGUUUGGUUUUAAACUUUAAAAACCAAUGAUAUUUGGUUUGGUUUAGUUUUAAGUAGAAAACAACGGGGAAAAAACCGAACCAAACCGACUUCAUAUAUAUACAUUACAUGCAUACGUACAUCUUAUGUGAAAUGUUUUGACCUCAACAACAUUGACAAGAUUAUUACUAUCUGUUAGAUAUAUGACUGCAUUGAGUUCACCAGAAACUAGAACAUGACUUAGUCGUAUAUGUGAGACAAGUUUCCUUAGUUAUCCCAUAAAGACUUCCAUUUGUUAGCAAUAUUAAAGCCAUAUAUCACAAUCACCAAACACUCAAAUUUAACUAUUCUAUCCUUCACCAACUCAUGUAUAAACUGGUUUGUAUCAUUAAUCAGGUCACUUGUAUAUCAACUUCCAUCCCAGCUUAACCAGAUUCUUCCUUUUCUACCUCCUUGGUAGUUACCCUGUCUUUAUAUCUUCCCCAAAUAUGUUUACUUAAAAUGCCAUGAUUUGUGUGCUAUGUAUGGCUGAGAAAUUUGAUGAGGCUGCAAUGUAUUUUAAUAAACCCGACAUUAAUCGAAAACACCGAAAUAACCAAAAAAAUCGAUAAAACUGAAGCGAUAAAAACCCGACUUAAUUGGUUUGGUUUGAUUUGAUUUAAUGAUUUGACUAACUGACUUAAUUGGUUUGGUUAUUUUUUACAUAAAAACCGAUUCAAACGAACCAUGAACACUCCUACACACAGCCUCUGUUUGAUAUGUAUAAAUGAAAUAGAGUAUUAAAAUAUUAUGUUUUAUGUUUAUUCAAUCCUGGAGCCGAGAAAUAAUGUAUCCGGGGCAAACACAAAAAUAUUUAAGGAAAAACUGGAUCCGGAAGGACAUAAUUGGAAGUCAGUUACACCAGAGAUAAGGGACUUCUACUGGGAGGAGUUUAAGAAGCGUUUCCAAUGGAAUACUGUAAUUGAAGGUUCCAUAAAGGAUAAGCUUAUGAGCAAAUGUGCAGAACGAUACAAGGGCAUGUUAUCUGAAGCAAGAUCCUCUGAGGAGAAACGCAAACAUAUCCCGCAAUCUAUUUGGGAGAACUAGAAGCCUCACUAGGAUGCCGAGCUUUUAAGGCCAAAUCUGCACAAUGUUCAAAAAAAUCGACUAAGUGAGAAAUGUGGUGAAGGACCUGGUCCCUCGCGCCAUACAGGAGGCUCCCUCACUCACCGAGAGCAUGCAAGACAACUGGAAAACGAACUAAAACGACCCCCUCAUCAACAUGAGCUUUUGAAGAAGACACAUAUCAAGUCGAACGUGAGUUUGUGGGCCCGAAGUCUAAGAGCAUAUAUGAUGCUGUAGUGUCUAAGAUCACAUCUGCAUCUCAGCCUGUAGAUGAAUCUACUGAGUCUCCAACAAUUGAUUUUACACAAAUUUACAUGGAUGAAGUGUGUGGGAUUAAGAAGGCCUGCAUCUAUGGCCUUGGUUCGCAAGUAAGUUUUUUUAUGAGAAUGUUGGUCCAUCAUCUACUUCAACUCCUCGACUUCAAUAUCGUGAUUUUGAUGCUCGGGUGAAGGAAUGUGUUCAAGAAAUGAAGGAGGAGAUGAAGCAUAAGAUGAGAAAAGAGAUUAGAGCAGAGGUGAGACAGGAAUUUCGUGAUGCAAUGAGACAUGAAAUGCAGCAAGAAAUGCAGGAGCAAGUUGAUAAGAUUCUCCAAGUCUGUUUGCCAAUCCUCAUAACUGCUCUACCUACACCCCUAUGGGUACACCAUCAGUUUAGACAUGACUCGUCAUCAAAUAAUGACAUGGGUCAUAUUUAGUUUCUUAAAACUAUCUAUCUUAGUCUGAUUUUGCAUUGUUUAUUCAUAGAUUUGGAUUUAUUUUAAACUCUUCAUUUUAGACAGAUUUUGCAUUGUUUUAUUCAAGUUAUGGUUUAUCA